rnacentral:rRNA from 1 species
GACGAACGCUGGCGGCGUGCUUAACACAUGCAAGUCGAACGGAAAGGCCCCCAUCUUGGUGGGGGUGCUCGAGUGGCGAACGGGUGAGUAACACGUGGGUGAUCUGCCCUGUACUUCGGGAUAAGCUUGGGAAACUGGGUCUAAUACCGGAUAGGACCAUGGUUUAGUGUCUCAUGGUGGAAAGAUUAUUGUUUUGGUGCAGGAUGAGCUCGCGGCCUAUCAGCUUGUUGGUGGGGUAAUGGCCUACCAAGGCGUCGACGGGUAGCCGGCCUGGGAGGGUGGACGGCCACAUGGGGACUGGGAUCCGGCCCAGACUCCUACGGGAGGCAGCAGUGGGGAAUAUUGCACAAUGGGCGCAAGCCUGAUGCAGCGACGCCGCGUGGGGGAUGACGGCCUUCGGGUUGUAAGCUCCUUUCGUUAGGGACGAAGCCGCACUUUUUUUGGGUGUGGUGACGGUACCUUUGUUAAGAAGCACCGGCUAACUACGUG